rnacentral:rRNA from 1 species
CACGUAGUUGAUCAUGGCUCAAGAACGAACGCUGGCGGCAUGCCUAACACAUGCAAGUCGAACGAGACCUUCGGGUCUAGUGGCGCACGGGUGCGUAACACGUGGGAAUUUGCCGUCGGGGUAUGGAAUAACUCAGGGAAACUUGAGCUAAUACCAUAUAAUGUCUUCGGACCAAAGAUUAUCGCCUUAGAUGGGCCCGCGUUGGAUUAGCUAGUUGGUGGGUAAAGGCCUACCAAGGCGACGAUCCAUAGCUGGUCUGAGAGGAUGAUCAGCCACACUGGGACUGAGACACGGCCCAGACUCCUACGGGAGGCAGCAGUGGGGAAUAUUGGACAAUGGGCGAAAGCCUGAUCCAGCAAUGCCGCGUGAGUGAUGAAGGCCUUAGGGUUGUAAAGCUCUUUACCCGAGAUGAUAAUGACAGUAUCGGGAGAAUAAGCUCCGGCUAACUACGUG